rnacentral:rRNA from 1 species
GGGGGGGGGGGGGGGGGGGGGGGGGGGGUGGGGGGCGGGCGGGGGGGGGGAGCUGGCUCCUGGAUUCAGCGGCGGACGGGUGAGUAAUGCCGAGGGAUCUGCCUGGUAGUGGGGGAUAACGUCCGGGCACGGGCGCUAAUACCGCAUACGUCCUGAGGGAGAAAGUGUGGGAUCUUCGGACCUCACGCUAUCAGAUGAGCCUAGGUCGGAUUAGCUAGUUGGUGGGUUAAAGGCCUACCAGGGCGACGAUCCGUAACUGGUCUGAGAGGAUGAUCAGUCACACGGGAACUGAGAAACGGUCCAGACUCCUGCGGGAGGCAGCAGUGGGGAAUAUUGGACAAUGGGCGAAAGCCGGAUCCAGCCAUGCCGCGUGUGUGAAGAAGGUCUUCGGAUUGUAAAGCACUUUAAGUUGGGAGGAAGGGCAGUAAGUUAAUACCUUGCUGUUUUGACGUUACCAACAGAAUAAGCACCGGCUAACUUCGUG